rnacentral:lncRNA from 1 species
AUUUUAUUCAAUUUUGCAUUUAGAAAAAGAGCUUUCAUUACAAGUGGUUCCGAUCCAUUAUAAGUAAUGUCUAGUUUAAAAAUAUUUGUGCUUCAAUUUUGAUUUUACAUUCAGUAAUUUACAACAUCUGUCCAUAAAUUUAUUUUACUUAAGUGGCCAAAUGCUAGUGUAUUUAUUUUCAUUUACACGGUUUUGAUGGGAAUGAAUUGGCCUCAACUUGUUUGAACUGAAAUUAAAUUUCUUGUGUACACUCUCUCGACAUUGACUAGAAGUUCAAGGAGUUGUUUUAUUUGACUAGUGGUUAAAUUCAUCUUCUAUCUUCAAUGGUAUCCGUUUAUAAACAACCUUAUCAUGUGUAUUGCAUGAUAUAAACAUUUAAUUCGUUCAUGACAAAGUCUCAUAUAUACAGAAAAAUAAUUUG